rnacentral:sRNA from 1 species
AUUUGCCACGCCUAGACUCCGCUUCUGGGCGCGUCGUCCAUACACACAUAACCACUACUCGCUACGUUUUGUUAGCC